GAUACUGCUCCAUCCUAAGUCCUAUAAUGAGUAAGGUUACUCGGACAUGGCCCAAUGAGGGUGAAAGGCCCGUGGGGGUGGAGAGUCAGACUGGCCAGUAUCUCCCUGAGCAGACCUUGGAGUCGGGUUGUUUGUGAAUGCAGCCCAAAGUGGGUGGUAAACUCCAUCCAAGGCUAAAUACUAGCACGAGUCCGAUAGCGAACAAGUACCGUGAGGGAAAGUUGAAAAGUACUUUGAAGAGAGAGUAAACAGUGCGUGAAACCGUUCAGAGGUAAACGGGUGGAGUUGAACUGCAAGCUCUGAGGAUUCAGCUGGUGAGAUUGGCGUGAUCUUGGUCACGUGAGUUGUAUUGCCGUGUCUGCUUAGCUGCAGGUCCUCGCUUCGGUGGGGAUGCGCGUCUAGCUUAUCAAGCUUUGUGCGCACGGGAACUUUUCGAACUCGCUUGCCAGUGCACUUUCUCAGGGUGUUCACCACGACCGGCGUUGUCGUCUGGCUGGUGCGGUUAAACCGGUCUUGUAGGGUCCUUGUGGCCUUGCUUGGUCGGGAUGGCAGGUAGCCCGUUGUGUAUUUUAUAUGCUUCGGGUGUAAUAGCCGACUGCAUCGGUUCUGUGCGGUACGUCGGAGACGGCGGCUUGUUGUGCGUGCGGGCGUGCCUGUGCGCCGGCGGCUCUGGGUCUGGUUGCCUUGUUGCUUGUGAAUGCAGGCCAGGUGAUGGCUCGGGGUUGUUCGGUGUGCGGUUGCGUUCGUUGCACUUUAAAGGGCCAAUAGUCUGUGGUGUAGUGGUAGACUAUCCACCCGACCCGUCUUGAAACACGGACCAAGGAGAGUAACAUGUGCGCGAGUCAUUGGGCGUUACGAAACCCAAAGGCGAAGUGAAAGUAAAGGUUCGGCUUGUCCGGGCUGAGGUGAGAUCUUGUCGUUUCUCACGCAUGGUACUACCAAGCAUCGAGCGGCAGGCGCAUCACCGGCCCGUCCCAUGGCGUAGUGGCGGCUUCGUGCUUGCUCAUCGU
rnacentral:rRNA from 1 species